rnacentral:rRNA from 1 species
GGGGGCGGGGGUGGCUAUACAUGCAAGUCGAGCGGACAGAAGGGAGCUUGCUCCCGGAUGUUAGCGGCGGACGGGUGAGUAACACGUGGGUAACCUGCCUGUAAGACUGGGAUAACUCCGGGAAACCGGAGCUAAUACCGGAUAGUUCCUUGAACCGCAUGGUUCAAGGAUGAAAGACGGUUUCGGCUGUCACUUACAGAUGGACCCGCGGCGCAUUAGCUAGUUGGUGAGGUAACGGCUCACCAAGGCGACGAUGCGUAGCCGACCUGAGAGGGUGAUCGGCCACACUGGGACUGAGACACGGCCCAGACUCCUACGGGAGGCAGCAGUAGGGAAUCUUCCGCAAUGGACGAAAGUCUGACGGAGCAACGCCGCGUGAGUGAUGAAGGUUUUCGGAUCGUAAAGCUCUGUUGUUAGGGAAGAACAAGUGCAAGAGUAACUGCUUGCACCUUGACGGUACCUAACCAGAAAGCCACGGCUAACUACGUGCCAGCAGCCGCGGUAAUACGUAGGUGGCAAGCGUUGUCCGGAAUUAUUGGGCGUAAAGGGCUCGCAGGCGGUUUCUUAAGUCUGAUGUGAAAGCCCCCGGCUCAACCGGGGAGGGUCAUUGGAAACUGGGAAACUUGAGUGCAGAAGAGGAGAGUGGAAUUCCACGUGUAGCGGUGAAAUGCGUAGAGAUGUGGAGGAACACCAGUGGCGAAGGCGACUCUCUGGUCUGUAACUGACGCUGAGGAGCGAAAGCGUGGGGAGCGAACAGGAUUAGAUACCCUGGUAGUCCACGCCGUAAACGAUGAGUGCUAAGUGUUAGGGGGUUUCCGCCCCUUAGUGCUGCAGCUAACGCAUUAAGCACUCCGCCUGGGGAGUACGGUCGCCAGACUGAAACUCAAAGGAAUUGACGGGGGCCCGCACAAGCCGGUGAGCAUGUGGUUUAAUUCCGAAGCCACGCGAGACCCUUACAAGUCGUGACAUCCUCUGACGACCCUAGAGAUAGGGCUUUCCCUCCGGGGACGGAUGACCAGGUGUGCAUGCUUGUCCGUCAGCUCCGUGUCCUGGAGAAUGAUGGUGUAGUCCCCCGCCA